GAUGAACGCUAGCGGCAGGCCUAACACAUGCAAGUCGAGGGGUAGACAUCUUCGGAUGUUGAGACCGGCGCACGGGUGCGUAACGCGUAUGCAAUCUACCUUAUACUAAGGGAUAGCCCAGAGAAAUUUGGAUUAAUACCUUAUGGUUAAUUAAAAAGGCAUCUUUUUAAUUAUAAAGAUUUAUUGGUAUAAGAUGAGCAUGCUUCCCAUUAGUUAGUUGGUAAGGUAACGGCUUACCAAGACGAUGAUGGGUAGGGGUCCUGAGAGGGAGAUCCCCCACACUGGUACUGAGACACGGACCAGACUCCUACGGGAGGCAGCAGUGAGGAAUAUUGGUCAAUGGAGGCAACUCUGAACCAGCCAUGCCGCGUGCAGGAUGAAGCAUCUAUGGUGUGUAAACUGCUUUUGUACGGGAAGAAAAAAAGCUACGUGUAGCUUACUGACGGUACCGUAAGAAUAAGGACCGGCUAACUACGUGCCAGCCGCCGCCGUAA
rnacentral:rRNA from 1 species